rnacentral:rRNA from 1 species
CGAAUCUUCCGCAAUGGGGGAAACCCUGACGGAGCAAUGCCGCGUGUGGGCUGAAUCGGCUUCGCCGUGUAAACCACUGUCAGGUCCCAGGAACACUGACCGGGACCCAAGGAAGGGCCGGCUAAACUCGUGCCAGCAGCCGCGGUAAGACGAGUGGCCCAAGCGUUAAUCGGAAUCACUGGGCUUAAAGCGUGCGUAGGCGGGCUCGAAAGCGUCUUGUGAAAGCCCCCGGCUCAACCGGGGAACAGCGGGGCGAACUUCGAGUCUUGAGGCAGGUAGGGGCAGAUGGAACCGUCGGUGGAGCGGUGAAAUGCGUAGAGAUCGACGGGAACGCCAAUGGCGAAGGCAAUCUGCUGGGCCUGUCCUGACGCUGAGGUACGAAAGCGUGGGGAGCAAAC